rnacentral:rRNA from 1 species
UACGUAGGGUGCAAGCGUUUGUCCGGAAUUAUUGGGCGUAAAGAGCUCGUAGGCGGUCUGUCGCGUCGGCUGUGAAAACUCGGGGCUCAACCCCGAGCCUGCAGUCGAUACGGGCAGACUAGAGUCCGGCAGGGGAGACUGGAAUUCCUGGUGUAGCGGUGAAAUGCGCAGAUAUCAGGAGGAACACCGGUGGCGAAGGCGGGUCUCUGGGCCGGAACUGACGCUGAGGAGCGAAAGCGUGGGGAGCGAACAGG